rnacentral:lncRNA from 1 species
AGAAGAGGAAGAAGAAGAGGAAGAAGAAGAAGAAGAAGUUGUUCCCAUUUCCCCAUUUCUCCUAACCUUAUCGAUGGACAACAGUAUCAAUAAAAGACUGGAGCAAAAAGGGGUCUGCAACCCUAUAGGUGGAACAACAAUAUGAACUAACGAGUACCCCUGGAGCUCGUGUCUCUAGCUGCAUGUGUAGCAGAAGAGGGCCUAGUCGGCCAUCAGUGGACAGAGAGGCCCAUUGGACUUGCAAACUUUAUAUGCCUCAGUACAGGGGAAUGCCAG